CCUACGGGAGGCAGCAGUGAGGAAUAUUGGUCAAUGGGCGAGAGCCUGAACCAGCCAAGUCGCGUGAAGGAUGAAGGAUCUAUGGUUUGUAAACUUCUUUUAUAUGGGAAUAAAGUGAGGCACGUGUUCCUUUUUGUAUGUACUUUAUGAAUAAGCAUCGGCUAACUCCGUGCCAGCAGCCGCGGUAAUACGGAGGAUGCGAGCGUUAUCCGGAUUUAUUGGGUUUAAAGGGUGCGUAGGUGGUUAAUUAAGUCAGCGGUGAAAGGUUGUGGCUCAACCAUGAGAUUGCCGUUGAAACUGGUUGACUUGAGAAUACUUGAGGUAGGCGGAAUGCGUAGUGUAGCGGUGAAAUGCAUAGAUAUCACGCAGAACUCCGAUUGCGAAGGCAGCAUAC
rnacentral:rRNA from 1 species